rnacentral:misc_RNA from 1 species
CUAUUGUAUGCAAGUGUGCCACGCAAGAUUAUCUUGGUGGAAAAAGUAGAAACGAAAAAGGAAAGGGGUAUGUAGCUCAGGUGGUAAGAGCGCACCCCUGAUAAGGGUGAAGGUCGUUGGUUCGAGUCCAAUCAGACCCACCACUUUUUAUACCAGAAAAAGGGGCGGUAUAGUCUUUUACAUCGUUGGGGUUAUAGCUCAUCUGGGAGAGCGCGUGCCUUGCACGCAGGAGGUCUACGGUUGGAUCCCGCAUAGCUCCGCCACUCUUUAAACGCACUUCUCUUGAAAGACAGAGAGUUCAGUGUUUUUGAAAAGUGGUUAUCUAACGAUGAAUACAUGUUAAUUAACAAUCUGGAGAGCUGACUAGUAAAUUCAAUGGAAAGAUUGAUUUUAAAAAAUGUUGUUAUCUUCGGAUAAAAACGAGUUCUCAAAACAUACACAUUCAAGUGUCUGUGUUUGGUUUCACUUUUUAAAGUGAAGACAGAAUAAAUGAGUCCGGCGAAAAACCGAUGUUUAAUGUAUUGUUGAUCGGAUUAAUAAACGCAAACCUUGGUUAGUUGAACGUACAAGACCCCUUGGGGUAGUAU